rnacentral:rRNA from 2 species
AUGUGCGAUCAUACCAGCACUAAUGCACUGGAGUAUACUCUACAGCUAAGCGUGUUCGGGCGAGAGUAGUAUUAGGAUGGGUGACCUCUUGGGAAGUCCUCGUGUUGCACCUC